AUAAUUAGUUUUUUAUGUGUUUUUUAUGCAUAUACUGUUUCUUUAAAAUCAAAUGUAUAUGUUCACAUGUUUGUACACUGAAUAAAUAUUGGCCAUAUGCUUAUAUAUUAUAUAUAUAACAUUCCUUUUAUACCUAAUAACUAAAAAUUAGUUUACGCACUUAAAUGUGUUAUAUUUAUGCAUAGGAUGUGUGUAGGAGUAUUAAAUGCAUUUUAUGCAUAAUGUUAUUAGAAUAGCUUAGAUUCAAUUCGUUACAAAAACAAAUAGAAUUAUGCGAAAAUGAAAAUGAUUAUAAUAUUAUAAAAAAAAAAAUAGAAGAUUAUAUUGAUACUUUAAGUCAAACCAAUAAAUUGUUGUGUCAAAAUUCACCUGUUGAUAGAAAUUUAAAAGAAAAUAGAGAUAAAAUAAUAGAAGAUGGUUCAAUGCUUUUAAAAAUUUUUAGGCAAAUUAAAAAACUCAACUUUUCAGCUGUUUUGAGUGAAUUGAAUAAAUUUAAAGAAGAAAACAGUUUACUUAUGAAUUUGAAGCAAAAUGUUUAUCACAAAAAACAAAUAAUUAACAUUUUAAAUGAACAAAUAAAAGAGCAAAUUGAGAACACAGAAAAUAAAAAAAAAAUUAUUGAAGAUAAGAUAAAAGAAAUUGAAAAAAAAAAAAAAAUAUUUUUUAUAAAGUUUAUGAUUUAUUAUAUAUAUAAAGAAGAAUAUGUUCAUGCCAAUAUAACCAAUUAUGAACUGACUAGCAAUUACAAAUAUGAUUCAGUUAAAAAUGCAAAAGAAAAAAUGGAAGAAGAGCUAAAAAGUUAUAAUAGUAUUAAUGAUUAUAUUAAACUCUUUUUAAAUAAAAGAAACGACCGUUUGCAAAGUAUGUAUGACACAUUACUUGAUUAUUACGAAAAAGAAAAGUUCCAAAAGAAUCAAAAUUUAGGAGCAAUAAAAAAAAGCUAAAUAGUUUUGUUAAAGAAAUCGAAGAGAAAAGGAAAAUAAUAGCAAAUUAUGAAGAGGAUAAUAAAUUAAGAGAGGAGCAAGAGAAAGAAAAUAUU
rnacentral:lncRNA from 1 species